rnacentral:rRNA from 1 species
UACAGAGGUCUCAAGCGUUGUUCGGAAUUACUGGGCGUAAAGGGUUUGUAGGUGGCCACUUAAGUCAGACGUGAAAUCCCUCAGCUUAACUGGGGAACUGCGUCUGAUACUGAGUGGCUUGAGUGCAGGAGAGGAACGCGGAAUUCCAGGUGUAGCGGUGAAAUGCGUAGAUAUCUGGAGGAACACCGGUGGCGAAGGCGGCGUUCUGGACUGUAACUGACACUGAAAAACGAAAGCCAGGGGAGCAAACGGG